rnacentral:rRNA from 1 species
GAUGAACGCUAGCUACAGGCUUAACACAUGCAAGUCGAGGGGCAGCAUGGUCUUAGCUUGCUAAGACUGAUGGCGACCGGCGCACGGGUGAGUAACACGUAUCCAACCUGCCGUCUACUCUUGGACAGCCUUCUGAAAGGAAGAUUAAUACAAGAUGGCAUCAUGAGUCCGCAUGUUCACAUGAUUAAAGGUAUUCCGGUAGACGAUGGGGAUGCGUUCCAUUAGAUAGUAGGCGGGGUAACGGCCCACCUAGUCUUCGAUGGAUAGGGGUUCUGAGAGGAAGGUCCCCCACAUUGGAACUGAGACACGGUCCAAACUCCUACGGGAGGCAGCAGUGAGGAAUAUUGGUCAAUGGGCGAGAGCCUGAACCAGCCAAGUAGCGUGAAGGAUGACUGCCCUAUGGGUUGUAAACUUCUUUUAUAAAGGAAUAAAGUCGGGUAUGUAUACCCGUUUGCAUGUACUUUAUGAAUAAGGAUCGGCUAACUCCGUGCCAGCAGCCGCGGUAAUACGGAGGAUCCGAGCGUUAUCCGGAUUUAUUGGGUUUAAAGGGAGCGUAGAUGGAUGUUUAAGUCAGUUGUGAAAGUUUGCGGCUCAACCGUAAAAUUGCAGUUGAUACUGGAUAUCUUGAGUGCAGUUGAGGCAGGCGGAAUUCGUGGUGUAGCGGUGAAAUGCUUAGAUAUCACGAAGAACUCCGAUUGCGAAGGCAGCCUGCUAAGCUGCAACUGACAUUGAGGCUCGAAAGU